rnacentral:rRNA from 1 species
CUCAUCAGGACAACAAAGUUUUAGGAUUGACAGAUUGAUAGCUCUUUCUUGAUUGACUUAAUGGUGGUGCAUGGCCGUUCUUAGUUGGUGGAGUGAUUUGUCUGGUUAAUUCCGUUAACGAACGAGACCUUAACCUACUAACUAGUACGACGUGACGAACGUUAGUUACUUCUUAGAGGGACAAUGUGUAUUUUUAACACAAGGAAGUUUAAGGCAAUAACAGGUCUGUGAUGCCCUUAGAUGUCCUGAGCCGCACACGCGCUACAAUGACACUUUCAAUAAGUUUUUGCUGGUCCGACAGGAUUUCGGCUAAUCUUUUUAGUAAGUGUCGUGCUAGGGAUAGAUCUUUGCAAUUGUGGAUCUUGAACGAGGAAUUCCUAGUAAGCACAAGUCAUCAGCUUGUGCUGAUUACGUCCCUGC